AAUAGGAUUUGGGUGUUUAUUAAACAUUUAUAUAUUUGGAUUAUAUUACAUUAUACCAUGACAUUGUUGAAUACUGCUUUCUGAUUGGCUUUUCCCGAUUUGGCUUUCUGAUUGGCUUGAAGGGCAUUCAUUCAUUAUUUCCCUAUAACGCACUAUAACGCACUGAAUAUUUGCACGGUUAAUUCUUAUGAGUUGUAUUUGCGUUUCGUAGUAAGCACAUUAAACCCAGUAAAACACACCAAAAAAAUUUUUUGCUCAAACUGGUGACCUAAAUUCUCAUGACUGACUGUGUGAAAUGGCACUCGACUACCCACCGUGCUCUACUACCCUGUCCCAUAUCAGAUGAGGCACAAGUGCUAUUAAUACAUUUACACUGGAUGUGCCAGUGAAAUUCUCUGCAUACAUUUUGUUGUUGUUGUUGUUCUACACAACGUUAAUUAUGGUUGAAAUAUUUUGUAUUUUAUAUUUCCUGGUUAAUUUUCUCCUAAUUCCAGGAAUCUUAAGGGAAACCUGGGAAUUUGGUGAAUGUAAACAUCGUUAUGGGCUUAGCACCAAAAGACACAUUUUCUCUCAAAGGUAUUUUUGUCUUGGCUGACGUGAUGGAAACUUCUCAGGUGUUAAAUGCUAAGAUCUAGUUGAUGUAGUGUCUAGUGUGUGUGUGUGUGUGUGUGUGUGUGUGUGUGUGUGUGUGUGUGUGUGUGUGUGUGUGUGUGUGUGUGUGUUAAGAUAAUCAACGCUGAGAGGAGUUCUCCAUUUGAAAGGGUAUCCUACUCUUUCAUCAGACCAAACGGUCGGACUUGAUGGUAUUAACAUCAGCAAAGGUGGAAUUGUGGGGAUCCAACGGGGAAUCCACAGAAUUCCCUGUGAGAUGCAAAAACAACCAAUGUCUCAAGAAAACUUAUUUCCAGGAUUAUCAGCUUCGAUAACCGAGACACCAGACCAGCUCGGCGGCAGAGAAACAAGCUAGCUGCAAUCAGAUCAGUGUGGAACAAGUGGGUGGACCGCCUUCCCCUGUUUUACAACCCUGGUCCCAACGUUACUGUUGAUGAGCAGCUGAUGCUAUUUAGGGGCCCCUGCCCCUUCAGGCAGUACAUACCGUCUAAACCCACAAAAUAUGGAAUCAAGAUCUGGGCUGUCUGUGAUGCUGCUUCAUCAUAUGCGUGGAACUUACAAGUGUUUACGGGGAAGCCAGAUGAAGGAACCCCUGAGAUGAACCAAGGGAUGCGGGUUGUCCUGG
rnacentral:lncRNA from 1 species